rnacentral:rRNA from 1 species
AUGGCUAAAAGCACAUGCCUCGAAGCUACGGUUAGAUUUUCUACUACAAUGGUCAAAGUGUUUGGACCGGAGUACUAUAGAGAACCAAAUGUUGCAGACACAACAAAGCUCAUAGCACUUGGAGAAUCAAUUUCCAGAGAUGCUCGCAUCCUUGGAUUGCAUGCACUCAAAAUGGAAGAAGUGCCCAUAUGCUCAACAAGGGCAGUACCAGGGCCAUUGCAAAAAAUCCCACCAUCAUUUUUGAAGCAGUUGCAUCGCAAGACCUGUAUAUUUGACAUUCUUUCUUUGGCAUGCCUGGGUCUCACAAUGACAUCAACGUGUUGCAGUGAUCUUCAUUGUUUGCAAGGUUGUGUGUGGACGAAGCUCCUACGUGCAACUAUGCCAUCAAUGGUCAUGAUUACAACAUGGGGUACUAUUUUUGUGUAG